CUCGCCUCAUCUCGCCCUUUCUUCUCUCAAAUCCUGCUCAAAGCCCAAACCCUCGCCGUCUCUUCCUUCGUCCGCCACCGCCUCAUCUCCCCGUUUCAGUAAAGAAUGGCUCGAUUCAAAAGGAAGAAGGCGCUCCCAAAGCCGUCUACGGUGAAGAAUACACUCUGAGUGGAUCGGAUCACUGGGCAGACGAUCCCGAAGAGUUUUGUCUUCUCCAGGGGGAAGCUAGGCCUUCCCAGAGAUCUCGAAUUGGAUCUCCGGAAGCUUAUGCUCCCCCAUACCACCUUAAAAUUAAAGGAGAAGAAACAGAAUAAACUCGAAGACUUGUGAAUGUUGCAGGGCCUAUGGGUGUGACCCAUUUUCUUAUACCAUCAAACUCAAAUGAGCAUGCCCCAUUUGCGUGUUGCAAGGACACCGCAAGGUCCAACAUUAACUUGUAAGAUACAUGAAUAUGCGUUGGCUGCUGAUAUUAUUCGAUCUCAGUCUCAUCCCAGUUGUCUUAAAGAGCUGUUCAGUAACUCGCCCCUAAUUUUUCUUUCUGGCUUUGGGAGUGGAGAUCAGCACCUGAAGCUCACAAGAAUCAUGUUUCAAAACAUCGUCUCAGCCAUUGACAUAAAUACGCAUUAUUCCAUCCGUCUACAACUGAUUGGUGUAACUCGGAGGAUUAGAAAGUUUGUUUGAAUCUUGGCAUGCCAGAUUUGAGGAAUCUUCAGGAUGUUGGCGAUUUCCUGACCAAGGCUGGCUAUGGUUCAGAAAGUGAAGCUGAUGAAGAAUCGGCAACUCAGUUUGGCAAGUGAGCUUGACAGAGUAAACCGGGCAUCUACCCAAAGUGCUGUUAGACUUCAGGAAAUUGGACCCAGGAUGACACUUCAUUUGGUUAAAGUCUAGGAAGGGUUAUGCUCUGGAGCUGUUAUAUACAAUGACUUUGGUAAAGGAGAUUGACUCGUUUGGUCUCUCUGAUGGGUGUCAAACCAUGUAGUGUUUUCUAAGCUGCAUCCUAAUAUGUAGCUGUCAUUUAUUUCAUCCGUGAUUGUGUUUUUUUUUUUCAGCGAUGAUAUGUUGAUUCUUAAUGCAGUAAAUAUUUCUCUCCCCAA